CUGCCCAGCUGCCCUGACAGCUCAGGAGAGACGGCUCUGCUGUCUUCUGGUGCCUUGGGAUUUCAGAUGCCCCUUUUGGUCAAGCCAUCCUUGGGGGACAGCCACCUGGGUGACUGUCUAUGAAGCUGAUGGAUGGGCUUUGCAUAAUUUUAACAAUACAGUCUUAAAAAAUUACUCUGGGAAAUUUCAAAUGCUUACAAAAAUAGAAUUGUAAGAUUCCCAUAUCCCAAUCACUCAGCUUAAACAAUAAUUAUCCAGUUUCAUCUAGGCUCUGCAUCAUUCCCCUUCCCCCACUCUACAGUAUUUUACAGCAAAUCUCAAGCUCAUCAAUUUUUCAGGUUAUCCUGGUUAAAAAAAAAGGAUUCCUUAAAAUCCACAAUAUCCUAAAAACUUUACGAAAUUCUAUACUAUCAUUAAAUAUCCAAUUAGAGUUCCAAUUUUCCUGGCCACCUCAUAUAUACUUAAUGGUUUAUUGUUCAAUUCAGGAUCGAAAUCAAAUAAAUAAGAUACAUGGGUUGCAACUGGUUGGUUUGUUUCUGUUGAUGGUUGGCCCUUCUCUCUCUCCCCUUCUUUUCUUGCCCCCUCUCUUUGCUCCUCUUGUCCUUUCUUCUCCUUAGCAAUUUCAGCUGAAGGAAGGGGCCAGCUGUCCUGUGGAGCUUCUGAGUGCUGCAUUUGGCUGGGGCUCCCCUGCCAUUGAGUGUGUUCCUCUCUGUCCCACCUGGGAUGUGGUUUGGGAGCUGAAUCUACAGCAGGCUUCCCAGCUGGCUGCACAGUUGACACUUGGCGUGGGAUAAUUCCUUGUGGUGGGAACUGUCCUGUGCAUUGCAGGGUUUUUAGCGUCAUCCCUGGCAUCUCCU
rnacentral:lncRNA from 1 species